UGCUAACAGGUCGAAAACCACAUACCAAAGCUAAUUAACGCACGUAACGAACGCAAGAUACACUCAAAGAAAUUUAUGAUAUGAUUUAUGAUUAAAAUUCUUUAAACAAUUUGGCUAGUAUUUCAAUUAUUCCACUCGAAUUUUUGGAUAAUGAAACUAAAACAUUUCACUUGCAUGACAACUAAGCCUGCAAUUAUUGAAAUCAGUCUUAAGUAGUAAGUCAAGAUCUAAUAGCAUUUUCGCUGAAGCAAAUUAUUUGAAUACAUUAAGAUUAUAAUUGAGGAACCAGUUUUUGUCUUUCGCACUGCCGGCUACUCGAUAAACGAUCAGCUGUUAACAUUUUUGUUUUUGCUGUUCAUAAGAAUUUGGUAAAUUUCAUCAGCUGGUUGCUUUUUUAUCAAUAAGCACAGAAAAAUUUACAACGUGAACAACAGCCGAAGAGUUGCAUUGUAUUUUUAACUCGAUUUGUAUUCGAUUAAAAACUAAUGUUGAAAGACGAGAUAUUUACUUUGUUUGGUAAAUCGAUCUAAAUCAGCGCUUUAAUCGAGCAAAUGACGGUUAAAUGAUAAAUUAACCCCUGCGAAAAGGCUAUAAGACAUGUAACAUAAUAUUUGCAAAGGAACUUGAAAGGGGGUUCUCGGUGGGUUUCAGAUGCUAAAAACCAGGGUAUUCUUAAUUUUUUUUUAAAUCAAUACGUAUUUAAAUAGUUUGUUUAAUAAAAUAGUUUUCAUAAAUGAAAAUGUAAAAAAAUUCGACUGGUGCUCGUUAAAAUUUUGUUGUGAUAAAUCUGAAAAAAAGCUGAUUAACUGAAAAACAAAAAAUUUCAAUAUACAACGAACAGAACACAUAGCGCACUGAGUUGUAAUUGUGUAAAUUUAUUUUGUAAGCAAUCCGACACAAAUUUUUCUAAACAUGUGUAAAAGUUUCAAACUUUAAGAUUUUUCGAGACUAUACAACUUGAAAUAUGUUUUAUUAUUUCAAUGUAUUUUGGUGCUGCCUGAAAAAGUUAUCUAUAGAACUCUAGGGAUCCAACGCAUCCAAAUUUAAAAGCACUUUAUGGAAUUAUGGAAAUGUCUGAAUAUGGAAAGUAACUGAAGCAAUAGAUCAAUUGUAUAUGCCUACGAGUAUCCAGUUACACCUCAUGAGCUGAUUAAUAAGCAAUCGAAUGUUCAUUGGCGGAUCAUCCUUCUAAAUCACUUAAAAGGUUUUAAAUAGCGGGAAUGUACAAACUUUCAUAUCAUUGGCAGUCAAGAUCGUAAAUCAUCAAUCGACUUUGACAGUUGAAUCAAUUAAAUAAGUUUGACGUUUCGUAACUUCAAAAACAGUAUGUUCAGAUCGUAUGUACAUAAUAUGUCAAUGUUCAGAAAAAAUAUGUCAAUAUAUAAGUAUAUUUCCACCAUAUAUGACUAACUGUUACAUAUACAAAUAUAUUUAAGGAUAAUA